rnacentral:rRNA from 1 species
GAUGAACGCUAGCUACAGGCUUAACACAUGCAAGUCGAGGGGAAACGGCAUUGAGUGCUUGCACUCCUUGGACGUCGACCGGCGCACGGGUGAGUAACGCGUAUCCAACCUUCCCAUUACUGUGGGAUAACCUGCCGAAAGGCAGACUAAUACCGCAUAGUCUUCGAUGACGGCAUCAGAUUUGAAGUAAAGAUUUAUCGGUAAUGGAUGGGGAUGCGUCUGAUUAGCUUGUUGGCGGGGUAACGGCCCACCAAGGCUACGAUCAGUAGGGGUUCUGAGAGGAAGGUCCCCCACAUUGGAACUGAGACACGGUCCAAACUCCUACGGGAGGCAGCAGUGAGGAAUAUUGGUCAAUGGACGGAAGUCUGAACCAGCCAAGUAGCGUGCAGGAUGACGGCCCUAUGGGUUGUAAACUGCUUUUGUAUGGGGAUAAAGUUAGGGACGUGUCCCUAUUUGCAGGUACCAUACGAAUAAGGACCGGCUAAUUCCGUGCCAGCAGCCGCGGUAAUACGGAAGGUCCAGGCGUUAUCCGGAUUUAUUGGGUUUAAAGGGAGCGUAGGCUGGAGAUUAAGUGUGUUGUGAAAUGUAGACGCUCAACGUCUGAAUUGCAGCGCAUACUGGUUUCCUUGAGUACGCACAACGUUGGCGGAAUUCGUCGUGUAGCGGUGAAAUGCUUAGAUAUGACGAAGAACUCCGAUUGCGAAGGCAGCUGACGGGAGCGCAACUGACGCCUAAGCUCGAAGGUGCGGGUAUCAAACAGG